UUUGGCAGCUAUAUCACCCUGUAGCCUAAGACCGGUUACUCACUUAGUUUAAGCAGGGCUGAGCCUGGUCAGUACCUGGAUGGGAAAGCACAUGGGAACACUAGGUUGCUGUUGGAA
ensembl:rRNA 5S_rRNA 5S ribosomal RNA